rnacentral:rRNA from 1 species
AUUGAACGCUGGCGGCAUGCCUUACACAUGCAAGUCGAACGGUAACAGGUCUUCGGAUGCUGACGAGUGGCGAACGGGUGAGUAAUACAUCGGAACGUGCCUAGUAGUGGGGGAUAACUACUCGAAAGAGUGGCUAAUACCGCAUGAGAUCUACGGAUGAAAGCAGGGGAUCGCAAGACCUUGUGCUACUAGAGCGGCCGAUGGCAGAUUAGGUAGUUGGUGGGAUAAAAGCUUACCAAGCCGACGAUUUGUAGCUGGUCUGAGAGGACGAUCAGCCACACUGGGACUGAGACACGGCCCAGACCCCUACGGAAGGCAGCAGUGGGGAAUUUUGGACAAUGGGCGCAAGCCUGAUCCAGCAAUGCCGCGUGCAGGAUGAAGGCCUUCGGGUUGUAAACUGCUUUUGUACGGAACGAAAAGCCCUGGGUUAAUACCCUGGGGUCAUGACGGUACCGUAAGAAUAAGCACCGGCUAACUACGUGCCAGCCGCCGCCGUAA